CCCCAUUUCGAUACAGGUGCAUGAUAAUGGUCCAUUCUAAAUCAAAACUAAUUUGACACACAUAUAAUUUAGUAUAUGUAAAGACAAGAUUAAAUUAAGAAUAGUGUGAUGGGUGACAAUAUUAGCCUAUCACUUGUGGAUUAUGUAUUAUCACAUGCGAAUGACGCCCAGCUUGUGCAGUAAGGCGAGGAAUAACUCAUGCGUUUUUUUGCGACUUCUUCAAAUCGUAGGUCGCACACCGUAUGUAGCCCAGCCCAUAGGCCUAUAUGUUUUGAUAAGUUUUUUAUCACAACUAAAGUGGCCAAAUAACUCCUUAAAACGAAGCACAGGGAGCGCAGGUAGUCUAGUGGUUAGAGUGUAGGGGCGGCAGGUAGCCUAGUGGUUAGAGUGUAGGGCGGCAGGUAGCCUAGUGGUUAGAGUGUAGGGGCGGCAGGUAGCCUAGUGGUUAAAGC
ensembl:lncRNA